UACCACCAAAUCUCUCUCUGUGGGAAUGCACGUUUUUAAUCAGUAGGCAGAGGUAAGGCCAGCAAACAGCUGGGCAGCAGCUGCUGCAAUCACACAGGGGUGCAGAUGGAAGAUCUGGCACCGAGUGGCUAAACAACUUCGUCAGCUUGACAGCGAAUAAUACCACAGUUAGAAUUCCCAUCCCUACUGUUCCUGCUUCAAACAGGUUGGGAAGGGAAAUGUUACAGAAAGCCAGAAGGAAUUCUUAGUAUUUCUUAGUUUUAGUUCUUAUUUAAAAAUUAUUCUUGUUCUGCCAAAGUUUACAAUUGUUAUAUAGAGUAACAAAGAUUCCAGAAACUCGUAACAUUAUGCUUUCUCUCAGGUUGUUUGUACUUGAGAGCACUCAGAAAAACCCUCAUCUUGCUCAUCACAGUGUUGCAUGCUGGUCUCAUCGGUCAUUGCACUGCAGGUUAUUAGCACCUGCAAUGCUACUUAAUGACACUCUAAUUAACAUCUUGAGGGUUAGUCACUUCACUUUGUGUUGAUUCACCUGCAGCCACAUAACUACCUGUGAUGGGCUGGCAUGUAGCUGUGUAGUUUCACAGCCAUCUCCAGGUACUUCAGGAUGGGUAGGUCUCCCUCUCCAGUGCUUGUGACCACUGACUCCUUCAUGGCAAUGCUGGCACUUGUACGGCUGCUCAGUGACUCAGAAAACCUCAAACAUUUUGUUACUUCUUUUCAAGGAAAAGCAAUUUCUGUCCAGCCCAAUACUUCUCAGCCACACACAGUUAAGGACAAUCACUGCUACAUGCUGGUGGUUGGCUCCUGGGUGCAGGAUACAUGUGCUCUUAGCUGUGCUUGCAGUUGGAGGACAACCUGUCAAGACUGCUGUUAGCCAAAGUGUCUGGUCAUAGGCUGCACUAAAAGAAGACCCUGAAAUCGAAGACUGUGGCUGAGAUGUGAGUCAUCAGCAGAUACCAAGCACAUUUCAGAGAAAAACCACUAAAUGGAACAUGCUUGUACUGCCCUCUGAUCUUUUUAGCUUGUACUUAUAUUACAGAAGUUACACACGGAAGGCAAGAGUCAACAGUGAAUGACAGCAACCUCAGUUGUCAAGAAAGCCUUACUACCCAGCUUCUUGCUCCUGCUUUUCCUCAUCUUUAUGUUCCUGUUAUCUCAAGUCCCCUUCCUUUUUUGUUCCAGCUCUGAUUAUCAACAGGCUUUUCUAUUAAUUGAUAUAACUCAUCCAGCAACAGAAAAAAAGAUCCAUUUUUUGUUGCUUAAUGGAAGAAACUGGCUCACAGAAACACCUUGUUAGCUCUGUGCUGUAGGCAGGAGUGAAUGGCUAGUGCUGGGGCAGAAAGGGGGGGGAGAAACGUGGGUGUCAGCUGUGAUAGGCUGUUAAUUCGCCUCAUCAGAGGUGUGAAACCAUCACUUGGGGCCCAACAGCUUGUCUUGCAAGCAAAGGUGGUGAGAAUACCUGCCAAGAAGGUUCUAUAAGCUGUGGUUAAUCAUAUUGCUACAGCAGCUAAUGUGGGCAAAACUAGAAGUGGAAUGUUAUCCAAGCCCCAGGUUUUCAUUAGCUGCAAAUACAGCACUGAUAAUAGAAUGAUGCACAGUCAAAGCAUAAGUGGAACACUGAAAAUAUCUUAAGUAAUUUGUAGCACUGAAUAGUGAAUUUAAGAGUAAAAAGUGC
ensembl:lncRNA